UUGGCGUGAAUUUCAAGUCUGACGGGGAGGCGGUGGCUGAAUCGACAGAGUAACAGCACCGCGUUCAGGAGGACGCGAGUUCAAUCCCCGCCCGGUGCCACCAGGCUGGGAUUUUUCAGCCGCCGCCGAGUGGCUUAAAACUACCCACAUGCUGUCCAGAAGACCACCUAUCAACCCGGACUCUAGAUUCUAGGAUUAAAGAUGAGCUCCGGGAGGGCAGCAUAUGAGCCAAUGCAAGAUGGCGCCACUAUAAACACUCGCCUGCGCCAGAACGGGCUGGGCCGACCAUCAGGACCCACCGGGAAAAAGCCUUGGGCCGACCAUCAGGCCCCACCGGGAAGAAGCCUACCGGCGCUAUAGGCCGCGACGUAAAAAAAAAAAAAUCAGUUGUCUAUAUAAAUAUUUAAUUUUCUCGGGACAGAGGAGGGAUAUGGUAGACCUUGAGAGAGAGAGAGAGAGAGACCUAUAAAGUAUUACAAUUGACACCUGUUAAGUUUAUAAAUAUCGUAAUAAUAUUAUAGAAUUAUUGGUACAGGAAGGGCGUUGAAAUAUAAGGAAGACUUGCAGGAAUGAACCAACGGGGAGGAGUUAGCUUUGGGCGGGGACCAAAGGAUUCUAGAGUCUUCUCUAGACUCCUUGGCGCCCAUCACACCACCCCUUAUUACGUCACUUCGAACGUCCCGCUCCCCGUCGCGACCCCGCCCACACUCCCCUCCCGACGUCCAAUCAGCAUCCGGUGUAGCGGGACAUUCAUGAAGGAGCAUGUAGGAGCAGGAUAAAGAUUAGACUAGCCAAUCACAGGGCUAGAAUUUAAAGUAUCGUACCGCAAUCUGGCAGGAAAAAGUGCAGCUGGUAUUUCUUGCAACCCCGGUAAUAUAAAGACAUGACACAUUUUUAGCCUUAAAGAUCCUCCACGAGACUCAAACACGUGAAUGAGAGUUGGUUUGCAAGUUGAUUGACCGAAAUAAUGGAUCAAUAACACAAAACUAUCACAUUUGAACUUGGUAAAGCAACAGGUGAGCCAACCAACGUGCCAGAUUGUCGUACUCUGCCUCUUAUGAUUGCCGAUUUCCGACCCAAAAACUGCUUUCAUCACACAAAUAACUGCCUCAUAUGUGGUUAUCGUUUAAAUGGUUAAUUAUUGGUGUUUCUUGGCAACAGUUAUGUGCCGGUAAAUCCGCGGCUUUGAGUACGAUAAUCUGGCAACGGUGGAGCCGACCGGCCAGUCGAAUGUUGCGAGAAAUACCUCCUCGCAGAAAUAAGUCGCUCUGUUGUCCAAUACGUAUAUGUGCCCACUCGGGAAUUCAUAGCAGGAAAUCCUAUUAAUUUGCAUGGUGUUGUUCUAGUUUUGUCCACUUGUGAUCUUCGUGAUGGUUGAUAUUGCAGGUGUAGCAGAAAAUCACCGGCAAGACAACAACACUAGACCACAGCAGACCAAACCAGCAAGAAUUGAGUGGACAUCGACCUACCACUGUUCCUGAAAUCCUGGGGGACGCUAGCGGGAGGUCAAGAAGAGCAGAAAAGCGAGGACUCAAAAGAAUUGUUGCAGAAAUGUUGGAUGAGAGUGCUGAUGGGAGAACUAGUUCAGGACAACACAUCAGGAGCGAUACUCAACACAAUUGAGCCAGGAUGCCACGCAAGUUCAUUCCCAAGAACCUCCGGGAGACAGACCGGACCAACCUCGAACUGGCAUUCAACUACAGGAUUGAGCACAACACCAGCAUACGGAGGGCAGCUCGGGAGUUUGGUGUCAAGGUUAUGACUCUGCAGGAUGCCUUCACAAAGAGCAAAGCCAAAUCUGAUGGGCACACCUUUGUAAUUCCCCAAGAAAAUUUUAACAAGAUUUUCAACAAGAAUCAGGAGGAAAUGCUGUGCAAAUAUGCCAUACAUGUGGCAAGACUGUUCUAUGGGAUGACUCGCAAGGAAUUUCGCCGACUUGCAUAUGAGUAUGCUGUGGCUUGCAAGUGCUCCAAUAUCCCUGCAAACUGGCAUGCCACACAACUGGCAAACGAAAAUUGGUACUACUCAUUCAUGGAACGACACACCAGCCUGACACUGAAAAGCCCUGAAGGGAUGUCAAUAGCCAGGAUUUCAAGUUUCAACAAAGUGAACGUUGCCACCUUCUUCACAGCCUAUACCUCAGCCAUGGACAAAUAUAAAUUUACCCCUGACAGGAUCUUCAAUGUGGAUGAGAGCAGCAUCUCCACUGUUGUGAAGCCAGUGAAGGUGCUGUGCGAGUCUGGUCAACCUGUCGCAGCACAAGUAACGCAGGAGCGAGGGGCAAGCAUGACCUUUGUUGGAAUAGUUAAUGCUGCAGGCCAAUUCUUGCCUCCUGUCUUCAUAAUUCCUCGCAAGAGAGUAAAUGACGAGUUUCUGCGUGGCACCAUCCAUGGAACGAAGGGCAUAUUCCACGAAAGCGGCUGGAUGAAUGGGGAGUGCUGGCUUCAAACUAUUGAACAUAUCCAUGAAAAGACCAACAGCACUCCAGAAAAUAAAAUACUUUUGAUUAUGGACAACGCCGAGUGCCACAUGACCAUUGGUGCUGUGAAAUAUGCCAUAGACAACGGCAUUGUGAUACUCACCCUGCCACCCCACACGACUGCUCGACUCCAGCCACUUGACGUCAGCAUCUAUGGUCCCUUCAAGGCUUGCUACAAAGUGAUGGUGCAUGACUACCAGCUCACUCACCCACAUAGCCCUGUGCGAGAACAGCAGGUCCCCGAAAUGGCCUGUAAUGCUUGGAUAAAGGCCUGCACCCCAGCCAAUGUUCUCUCUGGCUUCAGGUCUACAGGAAUCUGGCCCAUCAAUCGAGAGAUUUUUACUGAGCUGGAUUUUGUGGGGACCACAGUAUGUGAGAGAGAAGAGCCCAUCUCAACAACUGGACCAUCUAUGCCUACAUCACCACAACCAGAGCCAUCUACUAGCCAACCAGAGCCAUCUAUGUCACCAGCACCACAAGAGCCAGCCGGAGAGACAGAUGCUCAAGUGCAAGCCACAGCCACUGGACCUUCACCAGAGCAAGUUCGACCCUAUCCUAAGGCCCCAGCCAGACCCAAAGAUGAAGUGCUUAGAAAAAAGUGGCUUGAACUCUGUGACGCAAAAGACUGCAAAUAUGGGUAAUUAUGCAGUCGCCAUUUUGAACCAGAUGCUUAUCUACGAAAUUUGAAAUACGAGCUGCUUGGCCUGCCACUACCUACGAGACAAGUACGAUUUAAGCCUGGUGCAGUACCAACACUUCAUCUUCCAAACGGUAAAGAGACAUCAGUUCAAGAGGCUGAUACAAGAUUUGCAUCUGCAUGUGAUGUGAUUCAAGUUGUGAAACAGGAAGGCAAGGAUUUGGGUGUGUGAGCUGCAUUUUAGGCCCGAGGACAUCAAGCGAGAGGCAACGCACUUCGACGAGAAGACUGGAAGAAAACUUAGCGCUAGCUUGAUGAAGAUUCGCCUCCAGGAUGGUGCUGUUCCUUCCCAGUUACCUAACUACCCUGACUAUUUAUCGGGACCUGCACAUGUUAGAGAAGGCAAGUCAUUAUAUAGUGGGACACACGGAGGUGAAAAAAAGAAGACAGCGCAGAGCGGGGAGAGGAGACCAGAGCGGAGCGCGGGACCGCACCUUGCUGAUGUCACUCCCCAUCGCCUAGGCCUCCCAAAAAUCUAAACACGUUAGGUCAGGCGGGACGAGACCGCGCGCGCAGGUGACAGGUGGUGAUGACGUCACGUGUGGGCCAAGGAGGGCGUCGGCCGGAGCCGCUCCUACUCUGUCUUUCGCAAUAUUUAGGGUGUGGACUUAAUCCCAUAAUCUAAAUCCCCUCCGAAUAUAGUUCUGGCCUUCAGUCUGCCUCUGUGCCUUGCAUAGGGCACAUGUCCCGAGGAGUGUAAAUAUUAUUAAUAACGAUGCCAAAUCAGUGUGCGGUAUUUGGCUGUUGCAAUAAAAAAGGUAAAGGGGGCAAGAAUAACUUACGAUGUUUCCGAUUCCCAAGAGACGAGAAACUGAGACAGGUGUGGGUAAAUGUGUGCCGUAGGAGAGAUUCAAUCAAUGCUAAAAAUGCUGUUGUAUGUUCUAAGCACUUUACCAGUGACAGUUACAUGGAUGAUAUGAAAAGUCGGUUACUUGGUGUUGAAAGUCCUCGGAAUAAACGACUUCUGAAGAAAGAAGCUGUACCAUCACUCUUCCUCCCAAAUGGGUGCAGCCAGUCCGCAAGCCACUCCCAGCCAGAGUCACUGUCACAGCUAGAAGUGCAUCAAAGUCCAAGGGCUUCCUUCACCGACGACCAGGAGGCAGAACUUGCAGAAUGGCUGCACAAGAACCCAUUAUUUUACAACACCAAAUUGAAGUUGUACAAGGACGCCCAAAAGAAGCAACGCCUGAUGGCGGAGAAGGCGAAGGAGCUGAACGUGGAAGUCUCCGAACUCAACACCUGGUACUCGUCUAUGAGGACGAGAUACGCGAAGCUUAACAGGAAGUCUGGGUCAGGCGCCAUGGGAGCCCUCACCGAGAGGGACAGCUGGAUAGUGUCAGCCUUCUCCUUCAUGCUUCCCUACAUUGUGAGGUGCCCAACGCGUUCCUCAAUGGUCCAGCCUGCCGCUGUGCCUGUGCCAGCCACCCAGGCCAUCCAAACGAACGGUGUGAUUGUUGAGGAAGGGGUGAAUGAUCCUCGGCUUAUGGAGGAGCACACCCCGUCACCAAUGUUGCCGUUCCAGCCAGAGUCUACAGCAGCACCCCGACCCAAGAGGGCCAGGCAAAGGGCAGCAGACACUGCAGGCGCUGUCGCCAUGACAGCUGAUACUCUGUUAGAAGAGGUUCAGGAGCGAGCCGAGUCGCUGUCCCGUGUCCAGGAAAAGCUGGAGAAAGUCCUGGCACCCAAGAGCGACUUCCAAGAAGAAGUAGAGUCGUUCAUGCACGUUCUAGGCAGGAUGGCCCUGCGGCUGGAUGUGGACACAUGGAUGGAUGUCCAGCAAACACUGUUGGCAGAGAUGUCCGAGGCCUGUCGUGAGGCACAAAGGAAGCGGCAACAGCAGACUCCCAGCAGCCCCGUUGCAGGACCUUCGGCUGCUGCUACACCCACCUCAUUGCCUGACUUGGCUGUCUGAACUCUAACACCAGUCUCGGGCAGCCUCAACCCAGAGCCAGCACAGCCAUAAGUCCCCGAAACCCCCUUGCCCAGCCAAUAAUUCCAGCACUCCAGACCCGUCAUGAGCAACAUGUAGCUGCAACUCUAGCCACAGCUCCAGGAGCAGCUCUAGCCCAGCUCCAGGCCCAGGGACAGACCGCUUUGGCCCCACCUCACCCGCCCCAACAACCUCAAAUAAAUGGGACAGGCAAUCCCCAAUAUGUGCCACGCAGCCCCUUCAACUACCAGGGCUUCCUAUCGCCCAGCUGGCCCGCAUACCUUGACACACCACGACGGGAGUCACUGGACAAUACAUCCAGCAACAUCGCCUCCCAGAGCCGCUUAUCAACACCUGUUCAGGAGUCCCCGACCACCCCAUAGCAACAGCCAUCACAACAACAACAGAAACCACGUCGAACCAGUGAUAAGGUUAUGACACAAACAUAUUUUUAAAAAUAAAGUAUGAUCUUACGAUA